rnacentral:lncRNA from 1 species
CAGGUCAUGUUAUCCCUGGAGUAGAAAACCCAGAGACGGCUACUUUCCAGGGUCCUGCAUCUGGGGUGCAAGUGAGGCACACGCAGAUGAGACUCCACCUGCCCUGGGCAGCUUUCCUGAGCCUUGAGAAACCAGCUCACCAUGAAUCCAAGGUGUCUGCUGUUCCUUGCCACCAUUUCAUGGAACCUGUUGUAUGUGUAUUUCCAGCUCUGAAAAGCCUGUUUUACUUCAUUCUCUUACCAAAGAGUUUGGUGACACAAAAUGAAAAGUUUGAUGGACAAUCUGGAAGAGUCCCACUAAGCAACACAAGAAAUACGCUCUCACAAAGACCUAUUCAUGUUUUCCAUGUUUCAAAUAUGACUGAACCUGACAUAUAUAAGAACGCAAAAGAUUCUUCAAAAUCAAACUGUGUCCGGAAUUGGUGGGUUCUUGGUCUCACUGACUUCAAGAAUGAAGCCACGGACCCUGGCGGUUGCUAGUAACACAAUAAUAAAGCUGCUUUAUUUUCCAGUGAAGAUGUAUGUGAUAGGGAGUGGAGGAAGAAAAAGGCCAGAAAAUUCCAUAGUUAGCAAAUAUACCUUUCUUACUUAAAAUUCUUUUUCCAAUGUGAGCCUUCUAAAGAGUUACUGAGAAAUUAGGUGAGCUCACCUCAUUUAAUGCAAUAGAUAUGUUUCUGAAAAAUAAGCAAUACAUAGGACAUUGGCCAAUUAAGAAUUCUGAUGAAGAAGAAUUUUCACAUCCGAAAGAGUAAAAAUGAAAAACGGUACAAAUGUAGUGGCUUUUAAAUUUCAAAACAAAUUAUUUUGAUAAGAUAAAUAUUCCUCUCAUAAAGUGAAAAUGGAAGAGACUGCUUGCUGGGUGUUCGUCAAAAUGGAGUUAGAUGGUCUGUCCCAGACUCCCCUGUUGUUAGUUCUGAGAACAGAAGUAAUGGUGCUUCUUCAGGACUGGCUCAUAGAAACCUGCCGUGUUCAGCCCCCACAAUCCUCUCCCUUCUGCUGGCUGGAAACAAAUGACAACGAAGCCUCACGUCUUGGAGAAACCACACUGCUGAGGAACUCAAGUCCUAGAAGAACCAUUUGAAGAGACCCAUCUCACUAAAGAAAAUCACACAAGCAAGAAGUAAACUUCAUUGUAUCUAUGUAUUUAAUUGUCAUAACAGUCUACCUUAACUGAUACAGCAAAAAUUCGCUCCUUUUCUGGACACCCAGUUUCAAAAUCUCAGUGUCAUUUUUUACUUCUCUCUUUUCAGGUUGUUUAAUAUAAUAAAAUUUGUGUGUGUGUGUGUGUGUGUGUGACAAGGUCUUGCUCUGUUGCCCAGGCUGGAGUGCAAUGGCACGCUCCCAGCCCACUACAGCCUUGACCUCCAAGCUCAAGUGUUCCUCCCACCUCAGCCUCCAGAGUAACUGGGACUACAGGCAUGGGCCACCACACCCGGCUAAUUUUUGUACUUUUUGUAGAGACAGGGUUUCACCAUGUUGCCCAGGCUGGUCUUGAACCCCUGGGCUCAAGCGAUCUGCCCAUCUCCACCUCCCAAAAUUCUAGGAUUACAGGCGUGAGCCACUACACCCAACCAUUUUAUUUUUAAAAGUUUUCUUUGCAAUAUUGCUCACAUUGUUUCCUUCCUUUUUAUUCUUAUUGUCACUCCCAAGUUCAGGCUUUUACCUCUUUUAUUUGAAGUAUUAAAGUAUACUUCUAAGUCAUUUCUGUGGCUUAAAUUUAUUUAAUCCACUCCAUCCUGCAUCCUACCAACACAAUAACAUUGUUUCAUCAUUUCAAAUUGAAAUCGAAACUCUCCAAAGCUUUCCUACUGCUGAAUGGAUAAAAACACAAAAUCCUCAAUAGAGAAUUCACUUUCUGGAGCCAACUUACCUUUCCAAAUAUUUCCCAUUAUUCCCUAAGAGAAUCCUCCUGACAUACUCACUGUUUUUCAUAUACACUAGACCUUUUCUCAACCACCUAUUUGUCCACACAUUUUUCUUCCAGCUAGAAUAUUAUUUUCCCUUUCUCACUUCUGAAAGUCUUACCUGUCAUUCAUGGUUCAUCUCAAGCUCAAUCUUCUCCUUGAAACCUUUAAGCAUACCCUCCUGGAAAGUUAUCUCCCUCACCUCGAACCACCCCCCCAGCCCCUGCCAGAAUCUCCUAUAGGGCUGAUUGUUUAUCCUGCUUAUUAUAUAUUUAUAAAACACUCCACUGAGUUAUUAAUUACCUUUUCCUUGACUGUGAAAACAUGACUCUGGCUUCAAGGUAGGACCAUUUUUUCUCUAACACUGUGUCUCAUACACUUCAGCACAAGCUCUUAGUGGCCUGUGCAUUCAACUCCCAUGCAUAGCCACUUCCUCCAGGCAAACCCCACAGCCAGCAUCCAAAUUUUAAAAGGGGUUCUGUCAUCAACCCAAAGUUUCUUCUCUCUCAAGGAACCUAGAUUUAGAAGUUGAGUCUAGGCCACCUGUCUAAGAUACAGUAGUUAAUUUAACAUAUUUUAUUGCUCUCAACAUCACAGAGAAAGAGCCUUACUGCAGAUCUCAUUCUUUCCUUCAAAGCCAGUUUGCCCAUUCCUCUUCAGAAACCUUUAAGAGUGGUUAUUGGGAGAGAUGAUAAGACUCCAUCUGCUUAAGGAGUCCCUCUAACCCAGAAUAGUAGAUGUAAACACCUGACAUGUUGUUAUAGAGUGAAUGUUUGUGUUCCCCUCCAAUCCAUAUGUUGAAAUUCCAAGCCCCAAUGUGUUCGCAUUGGGAGGUGAGGCCUUUGGGAGGUAAAUAGAUCAUGAAGGUGAAGUCUUCAUGAAUGGAUUAGUGUCCUUAUAAAAGAGACCCCAGAGAGCUCUCUCAUCCUGUUUCUGCCAUGUGAGGACACAGCAAGAAGUUGGUCAUCUGCAACCUGAAGUGGCUCCUCCCCAGAAACUGAAUCUGCUGGGGUCUUAAUGGUGGGCUUCCCAGCCUCCAGAAUUAUGAGUGUAAAUGUUUGUUGUUUAAGCUACCCAGUCUAGGGUAGUUUGCUAUACUACCCCAAACUGACUAAGAUACAUAUGUUUGUCAUCCACUCAGUUGUUUUCCUAAAAUAAAUGAAGUCAGCUCCAAAGAUGAAUUUUCAUCUCUUUUUGUAGAGAUGGGUGCUAUUAUGCUUUUUAAUGAACGUUUAUUCACAAAUAAAAACAAAACAUACCUCUCACAUCCUCAGAGCAAAUACUUACAGUAACAUACAUUGAUGCUCACAAGCUCAUUACAUUUCAUGUUUACUAUUCAUUGAUAACAUUACAUUUAUUAUUAUCACAUAAACCAUACCUCCUGUUUAUGAAGCACUUAUGGUGUUUUAGUCAAUGUUAUGGUACCUGCUAUAUAUGGUCUCUAAUUUUAUUUUAACUUCCUAUAGUAAACAAUAUUAGGUGCUAACUCAAUAGUCAUUUUCUAACCUGAUUUUUCCUUGCAAACAGAACCCCAAAUUUGUUUGGAGAGAAAUGUGUCCAAAUCCAAACAAAGCAUCACCAUUUCUUUGAACCAUCAUAAGGAUCUAAUCAUUUUUUUUGUUUUCCUAGCCUCCCUCUAGCCAGAGAUACUGGGUAACACAGUUCUGGCUGAGAAGACAAGAGAAGAAAUCUGCUAAGCAUUUCUGGAAAAAGUUUUGAUUUGCUGAUGAAAGGGAACAGACAUACUGGUUGCCUUCCUUUUCCCUUUCAGCUGCCUAGUCGCCAUUUUGCAAUGUGAAACAACAUCAUUAAGGAAAGAUCAAAACAAUUGCAGAGAUGUCAACCAUCAUGCCUUUGAAUUCAUGCUCACAGUUGUCUGCCUCCAGAUUCAGUUAUAUUUGAGGUACUCUUUGAGUUAAGAUCCUUCUCAUUUUAUACCACUUGCAGCUGAACACACUCCCCACUAAUUUACCUUGUAAGGUGAAUUUCACUUAAAGGAAGAACACAUAAGUCAGGGAAUGACACAUAAUAGUAAAUGCAGGGUUUUUUUUUCUAUUUAUGAUAUAGAUUUAUACAACUGCUAUGUUCUUGACAUUGUACCAAUUUCAAGGUACAAAUAAGACAUAAUCCCUAAAAGCAUGGGUUACAAAAUCUGGGUUCAGCAUAGGGUUUCAUGAUAAACAAACAAACACAAAUUGUUUUUUAUUGUAUUUCCUUCUUCUUCACAUCUUGUGAAUCUAAGAAAAAUAUCAGAAUGUUCGUUUCAGCUCAAUUUUUGAAGAGUACAAUCUCUAAGUAAAAAGAAACUGUAAAUGUUUAUAAAUGUAACUAGAGCCUAGUAGAAAAUAAAGCCAUGCAAGUGUGUUUAGGUCCUAAUCUUAUUAACCAGAUUAGUGACACACAGUCUGCCCAAAGUUAAUGAAAGCAGUGAGGUUCUUUGACUUCAGUAGAUACACACCUGAACCACAGAGAUAAACUUGCUUCAAACCUGUGCGAUAUGUUUUUCUAAGCAUAAAAUUGAGCAUGAUAGCUCCAAUUUCAGUCUCAGUUUCAAAGCUUCCCUUUCCCGAAUAAGAGGCAAACUGUCACAUUAAAUUUAGCGAAUUAAAAUCAGUUAACUUGAAAAGCUCUUGGCCCCAAUGCAGAGAAAAUUGUUUGCAUAAUAAUAACUUAUUUCCUUUUUUAAAAGGCGGACUUCUGCCUGAAUGCUUCUAUAAACUUUUAAGAAAAUGGGAUUCUCAAAUCUCAAGCGUAUUGGGUUGCAGUUGGCACUUGAAGCUGGGGACAUGCAGAGCUGGCUAAUGUCAGCAGCUGUAGGACUGUCAAGAAAAAUAGGUGGAAGGGACACUUUUAUUAUAAGUAGACUUGCAAGGCAUUCCAACUUUCAGCUGCUCAACCCAGUAUACCAAACACCUCUGACUACCUCAAGUGUGGCCUUGCUGAGUGCUUCCAUAUUUAGGGGUUAUUAGACAGGACUGAAGCAAGUGACCUCUAAUGAGGAAGCAAUCAGGGCAGGCUCUGACCCUCCUCAGAGGUACUGUAAUGAACUGGCCUUGGAAGGUCUUUGAUGCUGCCUUUGCAUACUGUAUAUGAGCUUUCUGCUCAGUCAUUUCCUCUGCGCUCUGGUAGCACAGCAUGAAGCCUGCUAUUAGAAAAAAGGUUUAUUGCUACCUUGCAAACAUUUAUUGGGUAAUAUCUAAAACAUGGUGUCAAGUUAUAGUAAUGCGCUGUUCUGGGAAACUUUUUGAGAAUUUUAGUGUUUCAGAAGAUGGUCCUUUGAGAAUUCUUCUGUUUCAGAAAUGAAAAGUGGUAGAUAUAUACGUGUGUGUGUAUAAUAUGCUCAUGUAUCCUCUGAUUACUUGCCAGAGAUGUACCAUUUUUCUUUCAAGGGAAACAUCUAUUCCUAAGAUAGAUUAUUCUUGAAAUUUUCAAAGAGUAUGCCUCAGAGAACAAAUAUACAAAUUUACCAUUUGUCUGCAGAUAUUAUUUGCCUGUGUUUAUGCUAGGUCACUGACACCACACACAUUUUAAUCCCCAAGGGAAUUUAUUUGGUGGUGUUAUCUACUCAACCAAGCUGAAGCUUAUCUAGUUCACAAGAAAAUAGUCAAUAUGAGCUCCAUGCAGACUUAUGCUGUUAAUGCAGAAGAGGGAAAGAGAAUUUACCUUUAACUGUUAUGAUGAAAAUGUGUACAAUGACACUUAACUAUGGCAUGCAAAUCCUCUUUUCCUCCCCCACAGGUAUCUGGAAAGUACCUUAUACAGCUAGGUGCUUAGAAAAUGUUUAUUGAUUAAAUAGAUGAUGAUUAACAGAUUAAUAAAAGGUGAAAGUUACUAUCUAUGCAUUUUUUUCCAGUUUGAUGUUCAAAAACUUACCAAUGGAUGGGGAGUUGCUUUUCAUAAACAAUUUAUAAAGCACUGUCCUGGAUGAAAUUGUAAAAAGGACGUGGUGUCAAAGAUGACUCAGUGGAGUUGAGGUGAAAAAUGUGUAAUGAGCAAAUCAUGGUAAUUGGGAUAUCCAUCACCUCAAACCCUUAUCAUGUCUUUGUGUUGAGGACAUUUCAAAUCUUCCCUUCCAGCUAUUUUGAAAUAUACAACAAAUUAUUGUUAAGUGUAGCCACCCUAGUGUGCUACUGUACACUAGGACUUACUUAUUCCUUCUAUCUAACUGUAUUUUUGAACCCAUGAACCAACAUCUCUUUGAUUUCCAGCCUGGGCUUUGGUGUCCCUUUUUUUGUGUGUUUUCAUAGGGCCCUAUAUUUAUAUUAUUUGGGCUCAACACAUUGCAAAACUGCAGAGGAGUUUACUAUUAUGCACAUUAUUAUUCUAUAUUCUGUCACUCUAAGAAACAAUAAGUGACCAUCUGAAGAGACCAUCUUCUAGCACCAAAAUAUUUAAAGAUGAUUAAGAAUAAGACAAGGGUCUCCUUAUUUACAAAAUGACAUAAUUGAAAGGACUAGAUUAUUAGCAACCCCUCUGGAAAAGGAUUACUCUUUUGGAUUUUAAUUACAUAACUAAUAUAUCAACUGAAGUGCUAUGCCCUGACGUGUGCUCCCCUCAGCUUCACGAUCCAUAUGUUGAAACCCAACCCCUUAAUGUGAUGGCAUUUGGAGAUGGGGCUUUGGAGAUAUUAGUUAGGUUUAGAUAAGGUCAUGAGAAUGGGGCUCUUAUGAUGAGAUGAGCACCUUCAUAAAAAGAGACACGAGGUAUUUCUCUUUUCUCUCUUCUCUCUCUCCCUCUUUCCCUCCCUCCCUCUCUCCUCCUUCUCUGUCUUCCUCCUUUAUGUGAGGACAUAGCCAGAAGGCAGCUGUGUCUGCAAGCCAGGAAGAAAGCCCUCACCAGGAAUCAACUAUAUCAGCACCUUGAUCUUGAACUUCUAUCCUUAGAACAGAGAGAAAAUGAAUUUCUAUUCUUGAAGCCACCCAGCCUACGGUAUUUUGUUAUGGCAGUCAAGCUGAAUAAGAUAUAUAUCUACACUGAGACCAUUAAAAGUAGUUCCUGAUUGGCAGAAAGGUUGUAUAUAUAAAUGGCUCAUUGAAAGUUCUCACUGCAUGGAUGAGAAAUCUCAGAUUGAGGUUCUUAAAUUUUGAAAAAUAGAAAUAAAGGAAUUAACGCAACAGUCUUCUAAUCUUUCUGCCUUCAGUUUUUGCUCCCUUUGACUAUUCUCUGUACACUGCAUCCAGAGGUUAUAUUUUGACAGGGAAAUUCAAAUGAUGUAUAUUAUUUUUCUACUCAAAAUCUCCCCACUGGCACCCUAUUGUCCUAAAGCAUAAACUGCUAUUGCAGUCAAUUCACCUGAAAUAAGCUCUCUUCCUGCCGCGUCUUUUACAUAGAUUGUUUACUCCUCUUGUGAUCCCAGUUCCCUGCUUCUCCCUCUCCUCCACACUUUUCAAUAAUUAAAUUAUACUCAGCGUUCAGAAUUCAGUCAGGAUAUCCUACCUUCUUUGGUCAGCCCCCCAGGGUUUUCUGAAAGCUGGGAAGAGGCCCUCUUCUGCAAUCCCCAUGCACUGUAGACACAUCCCCUUUAGGUCCCUAUGUUGUGAGUGACUGUUUUCUUGUCUGUCUCUGCCACUAUAUUAUGCACUCUUAGAAGGCAAGGACUACUUCUCUUCAUUGUAUACCUAGAACUUAACCCAAAAACUGGCAUGUGCAUGCACCCAAGUUUUCACUGAGAAAAUAAUUGCAUGAGUCACUUGCUUUCCAGGUCUUUCUGACUACUAUGAUGGUGAUGACUUGUAGUCACAACAUGAAAUUGGUUUCUGCCCCUGAGGAUUGUAUCUCUCUACUUUGCAUGACCCCUAGAUUUCAAUCCCUCUUUAUUCUCUCCUGAUCCUUGGGUUCCAGUAAUUCUCUGGGUUUCAAAUAUAAGCACAGUGUGAGGAGCUCUUCAUUCUUGACAGAACUUUCAGGCAAGAAAGAAAUAGAUUCCUGGGAAUAUCUAUAUUCCCUCUGGCCCUAUUCCUUACUCCCAAAACAUAAUAACCCUUUUCUUAGGUUUUUUCUCUCUACCUUUUUACUUCUUCCUUAUUCUCACGAUUACAUGAAUUAACUGCCUACAGAGUAUGAAUUCAGACUGAAUUAAUAUGUAUUUAUGUGACAUAAAAGAUCUCUUUCAGUACUUCUUAAUCUUACCAAAUGAUGCAUACUAUACAAUAAAAAAUUGCAAUUUUUUCAUUAGCUUUUUUUUUUUUUUUUGGUUUCUGGUAGGGUUUUCCUUUAGUGGUAUUUUAGCAAGUAAUACAAUCCAGUUAUUUUUAAAAGUAUAUUAGUAGAAACUCACCAGAAGUCAAUAUACUGGUCCAAGAAUAAUUAACUGAUUGACUUUAUUGUUUAUGAAACUUUGUAAUGUUCCUUUUGAUGUGAAUGCUUAUCUUAGGGGGAAAUGCACUUUUCAAAUAUAAAUGAUCAUGUUUAAACAAACUGCUUCUAGUUUCAAAUAUGGCACUGAAAAACAAAAUAAAAUAAACACUCAAUUUUUAUUUAAAAUGGUGGGCAAUUUACUUUCUUUUUUGUUUGGGAUCUGAUUCAAGAGCCUCAAUUCAGCUUAUUGCAGAACUAACUAAACUAAACCUCAAAGGAAAA